UACCUAUGACGCGACUUCGUGGUAGUUACGAUGCAACUUCGAAACAGCGGCCGCUCGUCGUGGUACCUACGACUUAACUUACUGUUUAGCUACGACGCAACGUCGAGAGAGAGGCCGUUCGUCGCGGUACAUACGACGCCACUUCGAAGUAGCGGCCGCUCGUCGUGGUAACUACUACGUAACUUCGUGGCAUCUACGAUGCAACUUCGAAGCAGCGGCCGUCCGUUACGGUACCUACGACGCAACUUCGAAUGAGCGGCGAGGUGGUAGCUCUGUGGCCUCUGCCGCGAGAAGUGCGUCGUGCUGUCGCAGAGGAGGUUGAGGCCGAGCUACGAAGUGGUGUCGCCGCGCGCCGUCGUGGGUCACGAAGCGGCGUCGCAACCGUCAGCGCCCAACUUUAAGGUAGUGUCGUGUCUGCCAUCACGCACCCUAAGGUGAUGAGAGGGAGUGAUGUAGGUCAGGUGACGAGAGGGGGCGCAGCUAGGGUAGGAGGAGAGGGGGUGUAGCGGCGGCCGGAGUGGGGGUGUCCGCGGUGUUGGCCGCUGCAGCGGAGAGUGGCGGUGGGGGGAGAGUAGGGGAGGGGAGCACCGUCUAGGUCGUUGUUGGCACCACACCCGCCCGCCGCAGUUGCGCGAAGAGAGCCGGCGCCUCGACGAGGGCGGCCCGGUGGGCCUGGGCAGACAGCGGACGAGCGGAGGGCGCCGCAGAAGAGGCUCGUGUGUCAGCUGCCUCCUGCCUCCGGCCUCAGCCAUGUGCGAACACGACCGCACCGGCGUCGAGGUGUUCCGGUACGAGCUGGGGCGGCCGCGGCUCGGGAAGCGCGCGCGGAUGCGACCGCAGGGGCGGAUGCGGAUGAUGCUGGUCCUGGCCCUCCGCUUGCUCCACUACGAGCUACUACUUGUAGCCGAGCUCCUGUAGGACCAGCCGCUACGAGGAGAAGCGAUCGUAGAGGUUGCGUACAGCCUCCGCUACGUCGUCGCCACUUCCGCGACGAACACGAGCCCACGUACGUGCACGUCUUCCCGUACAAGUAACUGUCACGACGCUACCUACAGAACAACCCAACCGUCCCUUCUCCAGUUCGGUCUCCACUACGUGUAGGAAUGUCAGUACCAGGUUUGGCAUGUGCCGUGGGUAUACGGUACUGGCAGCAGUAGAACGUAGAACAGCCAGUUCGCCUCCAUCACCGAUGACGAGGUGGAGUCUUCGUUUACACUACUAGUUGGUUUUCCUUUUACUCAGGGGACUAGACACAGUACUUCUACUUCGACUAACUGGUUUCUAGGCGGACCCGCGUGGUUACUCCGUUCGACUUUUGUGGAAGAUGAAUGAACGUCCUUUCUUCGCAAGCACGCGUCCCUAGUUUCUACUUGGACUAACUGGUUUAACUAAACAUCAUAUUCUUUGGAAGUCCAUUUGGAAUGGUAUCUGUUGGUGAUUGUUUGAUAACCUACUUGUCCGUUACUAAGUUUUCUUUUGUCGACUGGACACGGAGGGUUAGACGACGUUUGCUUCACAAACACCGUCCCUAGCGACCCCUCAAAAUUGGUAGCGGCUCUUAGUUCCGAACGUCGUGGCGGGCCCCCUGUGCUUCUUAGUUUCGAGCGGCGGGGCGAUUCCUCUUCUAAAAAUUGCUAUACCUUUCAAACUACGCGCCUUUCUUAGUUCGCAGGUAAUCUUUCUAAUAUAGGAUCUAGCGGGGCACGUUCGAUAAUGUUCCUUUCACCACAACAUGUAUACCUAUGAAAUCUAGAAAUCAGCAGGCGAACCGACUAUAAACUAACAACCGACUAAACAACCGACUAACAUAGGACUAAUCUCCUUUCACAGCUUAUCCUUUUAGCCAACCCCUCCGACCGAGCGAUCUUUUUGGCCACCCGCUAUGGGCGCUACCAAUUGUAUUUUUAGCCACCCCUCCCCUUUGCUUUGAGGAGGGAGGCCUCAUCUCUAUCGGAAACCUCAUUAAAUUUAAAUACUGUUAUAUUAAUAGUAUAAACUUUAAAGGACUCAAUACCGGAAUG
rnacentral:rRNA from 1 species